rnacentral:rRNA from 1 species
UGCGUAGGCGGAACUUUAAGUCAGUGGUGAAAUCCUGCGGCUCAACCGUAGAACUGCCAUUGAUACUGAUGUUCUUGAAUGUAGUUGAGGUAGGCGGAAUGUGUAAUGUAGCGGUGAAAUGCUUAGAUAUUACACAGAACACCGAUUGCGAAGGCAGCUUGCUAAACUAUGAUUGACGCUGAUGCACGAAAGCGUGGGGAGCGAACAGGAUUAGAUACCCUGGUAGUCC